rnacentral:lncRNA from 1 species
CUCCCCCAUUCUUUGACCCUCCCCUCUCUGGAUUCUGCAUAUGAGAGAAAAAUUCAACCACUGACUUUCUGAGCCUGGCUUAUUUCACUUAGCACCGUGUUCUCCAGUUCCAUCCAUUUGCCAACAAACGCCAUGAUUUCAUUUCUCUUUGUGACUGAGUGAACUGCAUUGUGCAUAUGUCCCACAUUUUCUAGAUGUGAGGAUGAUCUGACUGCAACACCUGUCACCCAGUUGAUCACCAGGCUUGAUUUGGCUGAUCUGCCUGGCUAGGAGGGUGUCCCCUUCCUCUGUCUCUGCUCCAUAUGUGACCCUCUGAAGCUAUGUCAAAUAGGAUGCCCUUCCCUGAUAGAGGAGGACUGUUCUCAGUCAAGGGUACACCAGUAGCUGGGCUUCCCUGCUAGAAUUUCCCACCAAGCUCUCAGCUCGUAACAGCUCUGUGUUUUCAAUUGUCACUGGUUGAUGGGUGGGAUGUGAGUUAUAAGUGAAUCCUUUGAGGAACAUCUUGCCUUAGUUCAGGUGAGAUAUGGUGGUGGUUUGGACCAAAAGGUGGCUGUGAAGAUAGACAGAAAGGUCUGCCUGGAGGUGGCCUUGACCUAAGAGAAAGGCAUGGGCAGGAUAUGAGGCAAUGGAUGGGAACAACCGGAUUGAAGCCCAUAAAAAUAAUGCAGAUUCAGAUAAUUAUAAACUCUUAGCUAAUGUGAAGUAAUUAUGAAAUGCUUAUUGUGCCUCCUGCUUCAUUAUCUGUUCCUGACUUUCCCACAAAUUAUCUCACUCCUCUCCUUCCUGCGAGGUAGACAGUAUCAUUGGCCCCACCUCCACAGGCAGAACCAAGGCUGAGGAAUUCUGGCACUUGGCUGUGAUCCCACAGCUCACCACAUAAUGGCACAGUCGUUCCCACCCAGGUCUGCCUGAGGCCUGUAGCUGGAACCAGAGGUUGAUGGUGCCAAGAGGGAGAUAAGGUUGGAGAGUUGGGGCUCCUAGGAUUAGCAUUAUUGAGAAUUUGUCUCAUUCAUUAACUAUUUAUUAGCUUGUCGAGGAUAGAGGCCAAGACUUCUCUCUGCUUCUCUCCCUCUCUCUCUCCCCAAACUUUUUCCUGUUGUUUUACUUUCCAGCUUCUCUGCUUGCUCUUCCACCAACCCCAAAGUGGUCCAGUUUAAGUUUAAUGCCUUCAAGUUUCUCAAUAAAGAUGUUCUGUGUGUCUUCAAUGUAACAUGAGCACUUGCUUAAACAAUAGCAUCCUAGUGCUAUGGGGGCUCCCUCCAAGAGCCAGAAUUAGAAACCCAUCCUGACCAGGAGGACAAGGUAGACUGGGACCAAUCCCCCCACCACCCCUGAGUCUUUCUGGAAAGAGAAUAUGGUAAUAGAAAGUCACAAUUAGUUCCAUGCUCUGUGUUCAUGGUCAGCCGAUAGGACACUCAGCUGGGUGAUAUAUAACGCAGGCCUGACCCAGUAGUCCAACUGCCUUCAUUUCUAAAUACCUCUAUUUUGUUCACCUAUUCAUUUAUUCAUCUGUAACCCAAAAGCCAACUUGAGCUCAGUGCUCCUCAAAGUGCUAUACAAGACAAGAUCAGCUUCCCGAUUUUACCCUGAUUGAAGACCCAAGUCUUCCUUGGACUUCCGCAGAUGACCAGGGGGCAGAGUCUCAGUAACCACCUCCAUGUUCCUCCAUCCACACCUGCUCUCUCCCUUCUGAACUCUCUGCUAGAUGUGAGCCUCUGCCCUUUCCUCAAUUCCCAAACACCAGAUCCCCAACCUCAUUCAAACAAGGAACUCGUGAGUUUAAUGUUUUUUUUCUGAUCAUGAGGGUUUCAGAGAGGAUUCACUGUGCUCUGAAGAGCAAACAAUUUAAAACGACAUGUUAGGCAUUCAUGGUCUCAAAGGCCCACAGCCUCCUUGCCUCUCAGGGCUUUUUACGGUCCUUUAUCCCACACAGUGUCCAGCCUGAUUCUAUCUCCCUAGCUCUUCUUUCCUCUCCCUUGUUCUUCCUUUCUUAUCAAGGGAAACAUGAAAUCCCUCUCAUUUCCACAUGCAAAGAGUCUAACCGUUCUUUCUUUGUUCAUUGAUUCCUCAAAUUACACCCUGUUGGUCCCAAAUAAAUUGUAAGGUAUUUUUCCCCAAGAAAGACCACUUUCCCCAAGGUAAAUCAGGUGCCAGCUCUUAAGGAAUGUAACUUCCACCUCAUGGAAUUAUGUGAUCAUUUACUGAUUACAUACGAUGCCCUAGGACUCGGAAUGACUAAAAGUCACUCACAUCUGGACCACCGUGGUGGAGAGGUGAUGUGCGGAGGGUGAGGUCCAGGUGAGAUGGAAGGAGCCAGGUCAGGCUGUCUAGGGUUACAGGGGAGGGCAGUGGGCACAGCCUAGAAGCCGUGGGCUGGACACAUCCAAAGUGCUGGUCAUAUGCUUCAUCCCAGGACCCUUCACUUGUUGGACCCAGCUGGUUCACCCACUCCAGGCCUCACAUUAUCAACCAGCCCUUUUGACUUCAUGGGGCUCUCAUGAGUCUUGGGUGAGGACAUUUUAAAACUAGAGGCUCUGAGCGUGGAAAAAGUGAUGAGUUCUGUUUCCAAAAGCAAUUUGAAAUAAAACCAACACCAAACCUAAGUGUAAGGAGGUCCAAAGAAGUUCUGGGUUUUCCAAUAAUGAACAUGUUCAUUAAUUAAGCUUAAUGAACAUAAAUUAUUUUUUCCUUCAAAACAUCUACCAUCUUUACCUAUAAUCUAUCUAUCCAUCUAUCUAUAUAUCAUCUACCGCAUCUGUCAAUUGGAUAAACCAAUACAGGUUUGAUAAAAACUUAAUGCAUCUCUUGUUCCCCUAGUCUUCUUUGUUAAUCUAAAUUCUCAGGGGAUAGGGAUUGUUAGACAAUUCAGAUUAAAUGACUUCUCCCCAGAAGUCUCUUUUAUUUUCAAUUCUGAGUUCCAAAGGCUUUCUAAAUUUCACAUCACCAUUAGCAUAAUCUAUAGAGCAUAAGAUUUCACGGGGCCUUGUAGUCACUUAUCUCUUGAUCAGAUAUUACUAUCUGGAUGUUUUUAUGUAAGUCAAGAUAAGCAGAUAGAAUGAAUAUGUACUUACUAUAGGGCAUUUUCUAGAGCCUUUAAAAAUUCAAAUCUGGACCUAAUUUUAUUUUCAUAUAUACUUCCUAAAAGCAGGCCCACAUAUACACACAUAGGGUAACUGUGAUUUAUUUCUGGAUGGCUCCAGGUAAUCACGUUUACUAUAAUUAGCAUUACAUUAGUCAACAAGUUAGUUUUUGACUACAGCCAGUGGGGCAACACUUGACUUUCCUUCUUUUUCCAAAGGGGUAGGUUUAUUCUCAUAAGUGGUUUCAGGAUCUCAAGAGAAUUUGACUUGGUGAAAACCUGUGUACACCAGCACCAAGUGCCUGUCCUGUAGCUCAGUACUCACUCAGGUCAUAAGUGCCCACACUGGGUAGAUGGUGGGGCGUGGGCAAGGAUUUAGUCAACCACCAACUCCAUCGAGAACAGCAAAUUAAAGAAUCAUCGAAGCAAGCCGUGGUUCUAGUUUAGUGUACUCCUUUCACAGACAGGGGAGUUGAGUCACAGAGAGCUCCCCCACCGCCCCGCGCUUUCACAUACAACAGGUUGGCAGCAGAAUUAGUUCUGAUCCCAUGUCUCAUUCAAAGAACGUCCUACUACAUGGUAUAGCUGACGCUAAGCAAAUUUUAGGAUCCAGUUUGUCUCUAGUGUUCUCAAACCAGUUUGAGUUUUCAGAUGAUGAUUUGAUACUCACGAUUUUAUUCAUAUUUAGGAAGUUAGAGCAAUACUGAAAAUUUCUAACAUUGCCUCUGGAAAAUCUGGCCCAUUCCUUUGGUUGAUACUGGUUCUUGAAUCAGAAUGAUCUUGAAAACUACAUUCCCAAGAAUCAUCGUCUUGGCCAUUGUAGCCAUGGAAGGAAUCGUUCCAGUGCUUUACCAGCCGCGGCCCCUGUUGCUCUUCUGAGAAAUGAGAGUCAGCUGAGCGUGGCUCUUCCUCUGCCUGGAGGGAGCCGUCAGUCCCUGGGAACAAGCUCAGUGUUUUCCCAGCUCUGUGAGGAGUUGCUGAGGACAGAAUUGACUGAGGGAUCCUUUUGCGCUUCGGAUGAAGAUGAUAAGUGACUGUGUCAUGCUCCUCAAGAACCCACUGUGCAGCUGAGACUCAGCAUCAGCUUUUUGUCUUUCAGAAAAAAAAAAAUCCUCAUUUGUUCCAGAUGCCCCCAAAAUGCUGCACCUCGUAUAUAUGCCUGGCACUCAGAACUGACCCAGAAGGUACAUGGCGGGCUGAAGGUCCAGGUUCUGGCUGGAACCUGUGAGGUCAGAACCUGUGAGGUCCAGGUUCUGGCUGUCCCCCAGGUUCCACUGCACAGUCCAGGGUUCACUGGGCACUGGGUUCACUGGGCACUUCAGUUUCUCACUGAAUAGCUCAGGAUAUGGAAAAUGGCCUGAUGUCGGGGACAGCCCACCAUUUGGAACAGUUCCAAACAGGUCAUGGACAGUGGCCAGCUGUCUUCCGUCUUGAUCACUGGAAGGAAAGUGGAGUGCGGCUUUCACCUCCUAAUGAAGGCAGUGCUAGACACGACUUUCUCACCGACAGUGGCUAGUGGGUGAGCCCCAGUCGUCAGCUGAUCCUGCAGGGU